rnacentral:lncRNA from 1 species
UAAAAUAGGGUUUUUUUGUUUAUUAGACCAGGUGAACCUGUUACCAUUACAGAAAAUUUCCCUUAGUUGACAAUGACCAAUGAAAUUAUUAAAAAGAUCCAUAAGUUUUUGAUCUCCAGUCCCCUGAUUUCUUUCUUUAUUAUUCCUGAUUAGAUUGAAAUCCCCCCCAUCAGAACAGGUAGGCAUAGGCUAGAGCAAAAAGAAGAGAGCUCCUGAAGGAAAAUAUUAGAAAAAUUAUGUUGAGCAGGACCAUAAACAUUGAUAACCCAAUAUCUGUGGUUAGUAUUUCUGUUCCUUACAAGAACUCCCAUAAAAUAGGUUUCAUAAACCUGAUCCUCCACCUCCAGAUUCCCUAAAUUGAUGCCAAUCAUCAUUCCCCCUGAGUGACCUUUGGAAGGGGACCAAAACCAAGAAAAAUCCUGGUUUCCAGCUAAUUCCCUAAGCUCCCAAUCUUCAAAGUUUUGCUUGAUGGUCUCUUGAAGAGCCACGACCUCCAAACUAUCAGAAAUGAUAUGGUCUUUCACUAAGGAUCUCCUACUCGACUUCCCCAGCCCCCUAACAUUCCAGAACAUGAUCUUCAUUUUUGGGUUUGUGUAAGAUGGGUUCCUACUUGCUCACAGGGAUUCACACCAUCAUCUCUCCCCUUGAGAGAUUCUAGUUUGAAAUCCCUUCGGGAAUUAGAAAUCACUCCCAUAGUGAGAUCCAAUUCAUCCUCCACUGUUUUAGGGGCAGUUUUCUGUUUUUGUUUCUCCAAAAAGCUAUUAUAUUUGGCUUCAGCAAUUUUAGCUCUAGCAAUCUCCUCGGCCUUAAAAGCAUCUAAACAUUCAUCAACAUUACCCAAAUCUAAAUCUAAAUCAUCAAUCACAUUCUGCAGAACAGGAUUUGGACAGUUAUUUAAAAUUGUAAAUGGGUUAUUGGUAAUACCUGUGAUUGUGUUUUUCUCCAUAGCCUUUUGUGCAGCUUUCUCUGCAAUAGGAAUCCCAUCCCUUGGAAUCCUGGCACUUGUUCUUGUUGCCAUCACUACUUUCUUAGUGUGGGGGUAUAAACCCCUAUACCCUCAUGGGCCUAUAUGGGCCGCACCAUCAGAGGUGGCUCGGCCCACAGGAUGAAGACGUGCGGCGCACGACUGGUCGGCGUGCACCGCAAGGCUACAAGAUAUUGUACCAAAUAGGAUACUUUGCUUGUAACUCUGUCCCUUCAGGAUAUAUAAGGAGGGGCAGGGGUCCCCUAGAGGACAGGUCAUACACACGAUAUUCUCUCAGCACAAAUCAAUACAACCAGACGCAGGACGUAGGUAUUACGCCAACUCGGUGUCGACGAAAGCUGGUCGGCAGUCUACCUUGGGGUAUACCCACGGUAGUAGUUUAUCGGUAGACGGUGCGCAAACUACGAACUCGAUGGUGACGCAGGACACGGACAAGCUUUUUAUCCAGGUUCGGCCGCCGAGUUGGCGUAAUACCUACGUCCUGCGUCGGGUUGUAUUGGAUUGUGUUGAGAGAUUAUGAUGUGUUCUAGGGGGGUCCCUUGCCCCUCCUUAUAUAGUCCGGAGGGCAGGGUUACAGAUCUGGAAACUAAUCCUAGUCGGUUACAAUUGCCAUGGAUAAUUCGAUAUCAAUUCCUAUUCUAACCGACUAGAAUCCUGCUUGAUCUCCACAUCUUGUUUCCUUGCGCGAAACUCCAGGUUGUCGGAUCAAGCCUUGAACUCGUCUCGUAAUGGGCCAAGCCUCCUGGCCCAAGUCUAGCCGUAAGGGUAUAGGGGUUUGUACCCCCACAGCUAGUCCCCGAGCACCAUGUAUUGUGAUGUAACACGCCGUCUUGAGCUUCUUCGAUCAGUGAGGCUUGACGUCUUCAAUAAGCAGGAAAGUCGCCCGAACAGUUGCAACGGUAUUUUGACCAACUCAAAAGACAGUUGAUCAACAUUGACAUCGAAGAAGCAGGUUGUUCGAAGAAUGCAUGGUGCUCUUGAUUAAAAAAAAUUUCUUUCUUGGUGAAGUGUGCCCACUUUACUUUUCUAAAAAGUAUAGUCUUUUAAAAAGCAAGCAUAUUCACCGCAAGGUGAAGUGUGCCCACUUAGUCCCCGAGCCUGGUAGUAGGUGACGUAGGCACGUGGUGCCAGGGUCAAAAGAAAAUUCCCCAAAGUAGUUUUGAGACUGAGAUGCAUCGCAAGAUGCAUCGUACCGAUGUAGUCCCCGAGCUUGCUGGAAGGCGAAGUAUGAGCCUUGUAGCAAGGUCUAAAAAAUUGAUUUUACCAGUCCCCGAGCAUAUCAUGCUCGUCUGCGAUUGAAUAGACUAAUUGACCAGUCUCCGAGCAUAUCACGCUCGGUGGUCGGUACGUGCCUUAAAGCCUUGAACCGAUAGACUGAGCGACCAGUCCCCGAGCGUCGAGUACUCGGUGGUCGGUACAGUCCUUGAGGUUCCAAGAUGAUAGACUGGGCGACCAGUCCCCGAGCGUCGAGUACUCGGUGGUCGAUGCAGUCCUUGAAGUUCCGAGCUGAUAAACUGGGCGACCAGUCCCCGAGCGUCGAGUGCUCGGUGGUCGGUGCAGUCCUUGAAGUUCCGAGCUGAUAAACUGGGCGACCAGUCCCCGAGCGUCGAGUGCUCGGUGGUCGGUGCAGUCCCUGAAGUUCCGAGCUGAUAGACUGGGCGACCAGUCCCCGAGCGUCGAGUGCUCGGUGGUCGGUGCAGUCCCUGAAGUUCCGAGCUGAUAGACUGGGCGACCAGUCCCCGAGCGUCGAGUGCUCGGUGGUCGGUGCAGUCCCCGGAUUGCUGACUCACUGGCGUAUGUGUCUUCUUACUUUUGAAAAAGUCUUUCCCAUUAAAAUUGACAUGACGGGGUCUCCUGACGAUAUGUCAGACGGAUGCAUGAAAAGCCGCGCCUGGCAACUGUACAACCGCUCUUUGCAUGGUUUGAGAAAAGGAAACCAUCAAUUGGUACGAAAACUCCGCCGCAUUAAUUGCCUAUAAUCAUUGUAAACUGAAACGCCGCGUCCGCCGCAUGGCCUGCCCACUUCCCGAGAAUACAGGAAGUGGGAGAGGUGGGGUCGCGGGUUUAUAAGGGCCUAAUAGGACCUCCUGUACCGCUUCUCCUGCAAUUGCCGUCAAAUCUUCCGCUCUCAUCUUCUCCAAUCUCCUGCACUUUCCUAGCCCAGCGCGCACUCGCACCUCUAAUGGCGAAGAGCGAUUCCAGGAAGAGGGCCGAACUGAUGGCCAAGGAGUGGAAAAAAUCUCGCAGCACCACAAAGUCUCUUGGUGACCUCGUCGACAUGGGGCUUCUGCACGACGCAGAGCUCGGCGGCUGGAGGGCGCCGGAAGGGGAGAGCUACCCCGACCCUCGCGCCGGUGAGAUCGUCGUUUUUGAAGACUUCAUCAAGAGAGGCUUUGGUGUUCCUGUUCAUCCCUUUCUACAGGGUCUUCUUUUGUACUAUGAGAUCGGGAUUUGCAAUCUGCACCCGAACUCGAUUCUCCUUAUUUCCACCUUCAUCCAUCUGUGCGAGGCCUAUGUUGGCAUAGAGCCGCACUUUGAUCUUUUCCGGUACCUUUUCUGUCUGAGGAAGAAGGGAGCAGUUGGAGGCUCCAAGGUUGCAGGUGGAGUAUACCUCAACCUUCGUGAUGGGAUGAAGAACCGCUACCUACACUGCCCAUGGAACACCUCUUUGACCGAAUGGUACAGGAGGUGGUUCUACGUCAGGGAGGAACCGGGCAGCUCCACGUUCUGCGACGUGGGGUACGUUCCCGAGAAGAGGGCGAGCUGGAGCGACCGCCCGGAGUACGACGGUCAAGUGGCGGAGCUGAUGAAGCUGAUCGACUGGUCGCGCCUGGACGGGUUUAGCGUGGUCGGCAACUUCAUUUGCCGCCGGGUGAUGCCCUGCCAGAAGAGGGUGCACUCGGCGUAUGAAUAUGCCGGAAGCGCAGACCCGACCAGGAUGCGGUCGGAGAUCCUGGAGAAGGCGGAGGUACAACAGCUGCUGAACGAGCUGUUUAACUUUGCCGAUGGGGGCUUCACCCGUAGCAGUGAUCGGGUGCAAGCCUUCAAACUAGGACGACCAGCACCAAAGGUAUGUAGCAUAGCCCGUUUGAUCAUUCUUAUGUCGUCUGCAGUUGGCUCACCUCUGUUGCUUUUGCAGGUCGGUGAUGUCGACCGGUGCGUAGUGUACGCAUCACUGGCACCGGGGAUGGAAGAUCCUGUGGGAGAGGUCCCGUCGGAAGAAGACCGAGCCCGCCCCGUCCUGACCUCCGAGGAGAGGGUAGCGGGGAAAAGGCCAUUGCCGGCGAAUCCCUUGCCAACGCCGGAGCUGCCGGCAGACCUACCGGCGGAGAGCAGCCAAGCGCCGAAGCGUCGUCGGCUCGUGCGGAUCGUCGACGACGACGAGGACGACGAGGAGGCUGCGCCGUCGCUGGUCCGACGGCCUCGGGACCGCCCAAACGCUGCGCCGGUCGCCACUGAUCGAGUGGCCAGCGACGCGGCUGCCCCGCAAGUUGCCGAGGUGGGGGCACAGGCGCCGACCGGCCGGGCGAGGAGGAGGUUCACCGCGACCCAUCGGCGGUCAGACCUGUAAGUGUUCAACUUACGUAUUUUGGACUCCUCUCUCUUUUUUUUUUUCUUUUUUUUUAACUUUUGUUCCUGUAGUGCGGCAUCGGAUGUCGACCCUGGCCAAACUGCUGGCCAGGGAACGGGCGAGCCUGCCCGCGGUUCUGGGGAUGCGGCCCCCCAGACCACAGAGCAGCCAACAGCUGCAGUCGCGCCUGGGAGCACGGAGGGGCUCCCGAGCGCGGCGCCUACUACAACAAGCAGCCCGACCAGGGCUGGGGAGGCUCCCCCAACUGACUCCUCGGAGAAGGGAAAGUCUCCGACCGCUCCUCCUGCCGGGGGGAGUGAAGUCCCCCUGCCGCCCCGAGCAGGAGCCUCUCCGGCUGCGGGCUCCCCAGGUCUGGUCCAAGGGACGGUGGCGCCUGGGACCACCACCGGGGGUGACGCAGCCCAGGAGGAGGAAACCAGGGCGGCCUCCGACGACGAGGUAGAAGAGAUCGAGGGUCGUCCCCGUGAUGGCCGCCAACACGUGUAUGUGUGGCGCCAACGCGGGGAUCACUUUAUCGGUCAUGAGGAGCUCGCCGAGUCCGAAGAGGCCGCCAGGGUGGAGCGCGCGGCUAAGCGCCUUGUCGACGAGGUCAAGGUAAGCGGCGUUUUGAGCUGCCGCGCGAUCUUUUGCCUUGUCUUCUGCGCAUUCUUAUAUGCUUGCUUUGUAGGACGUUAUGAAAACGGCGAAGUACCGGAAACGGUGCUUUGACCAGAUAGAAGGCGUCAUGGCCGAGAACAAGGCCCUUGCCGCGGAGGUAGACCGGUUGCGGGCGGAGGUCGGAGAGAAGGUGGUCGAGAUGAGCGCCGAAAAGGAGCGUCGUCUCGACCUCUCUCGUCGCCUGGCCGACCAGUACCGGCUGCAGGAAGGUUAGUCACACGCUCCGAGCAGUUUCACAUACUUGUAUAGUUUGCUUUGCUGACCAGUUAAUCGAUUCACGCAGACUUGGAGGAGGAGGUGGCGAGCCUCCAACAAGAGAAGGAGCAGCUCGGCCAACAGCUCGCCAGUGCACAGGAGUCCGGGCGGCGAGCGGAAGAGGAGUUGGGCCGAAAAGACCGGGAGUUAGCUGGUAAUGAGUGCCGCCUUGUUGAUUGCUGCCUGCCCUGUGCUUGUCUGGUAACGUUUCAUUUCGUUUGCAGUGCUCAAGGUGAACACCAAGAAGCACCUGGAUGAGCUGAUCAGGGACCGGGACUCCUGGAAGGGCAACUGUUGCAAGAUCUGGAAGGGAGUGUCCCCGGUCCUGGACCUGAUCAGUCCCGAGCUCCCGGAGAGCCAGCCCCGCGCGCCGCAGUUGACCCCAGUCGGGAAGGCGCAACGGGCGUGGGACUGGCUCCAGCAGUUUGUGAAGGACGCCGGAGAGUUUGCCGGCGCGCACGUCCUCAGCAUGGUGCGCGCCCACUACCCCCUGGUUGACUUGAGCAGGCUGGAGAAGGGGUACCCGAAGGAAGUCGGCCCACAGGAAGCGGACGAACUUCGGGGUAGUCUGCUGGAUUUGUCGUCGACGGUGAUCGGCGACAUCAACCUGUGCGGAACGGCCACUCCUCCAGACCAGCCGAGCUCAGAUAGGUCGGCCAGGGAGUUGUCGGGCGCGUCCGUUGCUGGAGAUGGGCGGUCGACGCCUGCGGUCUCGACCAGCCAGGCGCCGGUGGCCCCGACCCCUUCGUCCGGGCAGCAAGGCCAGGCGGGUGAUCAGCCCGAGCAGCUAGGCCAAUAAAGUAGUCUGUAGGAAUAGACUAGUAUCUGCCCGUCAGGGUGUUUAUUGUAAACUUUGUAUGUAAAGUUUGUAAUAAAGUUUUCUUUUUUGUCAUGACUGUUGUUUUGAGCGCUGUAAGAAUGUCUGAGUGACGUGUCACCGUAUUUGUCUUGGUUGUCGCCAAGAGCAUCCAUUGCAGGAGUUUUGCUGGGUGCUGCGUACGACAAGGUAUAGGCGAGAAAUAUAGAAUCUUAUUAUCAAAAAUUAUAAGAUACUUACAAAAGAAAGCCAUUAAAACGUUAUGGAUAGAAUCGUCGCAGUUUGUCGAUGUGCCAAGAGUUAGGCACUCGUGUUCCGUCUGGGUAUGCCAAUCUGUAGGACGUAGGUCGUGUGACCUUGGUCACCACGAAGGGUCCUUCCCAGGGAGUGGAUAACUUGUGCAUUCCCUCCUGGUUCGUUUUCCAUCGAAGCACCAGAUCGCCGACCACAAAGGAACGGUCCUUGACGUUCCUGUUGUAGUAUCGCCUGACUGCCGCGAGAUAUUUUGCUGUUCGGAGACAUGAAACUAAACGAUUUUCCUCCAUGCAAUUGACUUCGAGUUCCCUGGCGUUGUCGGCAGUCGCCUCGUCGUAGUGCUCGAUUCUAGGAGAUCUGAAGUGUAUGUCGGCCGGCAGGACCGCCUCUGCACCGUAUACCAUGAAGUAGGGAGACACCCCUGUGUUUCGACUGGUCUGGGUUCGGAGGCCCCAGACUACUGCCGGCAAUUCUCUCAUCCAUCGACCGGGUGCUCUGUCGUUUUCGGUGUACAGCCUCUUCUUUAGGGCAUCAACGAUCAUUCCAUUAGCACGUUCGACUUGACCGUUAGCACGUGGGUGUGCUACUGACACAUAUUUUAUGACUAUGCCUCUGUCAUCGCAGAAAUCCCAAAAAGUGGUGCCAGUAAACUGAGUGCCCAGGUCGGUGAUUAUGCUGUUCGGGAUGCCGAAUCUGUGUAUGAUUUGAUUGAGAAACUCCACGGCCUUCUCGGAGGUUGCCUUGACCAAGGGCAUGUAUUCGAUCCACUUGGAGAACUUGUCGAUUAGCACGAAGACAAACUUGAAGUUGCCCGGGGCUGGUUUAAAUGGUCCGAUCAUGUCAAGCCCCCAGCAAGCAAAGGGCCAAGACGACGGGAUAGUCUGAAUUUCAUGGGCGGGUACGUGGGUCCUCUUAGCGAAAAACUGACAUCCUUCGCAAUGCCGAACCAGUUUUUCUGCGUCGCCGACCGCGGUUGGCCAAUAAAAACCUGCUCGGAAAGCCUUUCCGACCAGCGUUCUAGAUGCGGCGUGGUUGCCGCAGGAUCCAGCGUGUAUGUCUUCCAAGAGCUUGAUACCAUCGUCUUGGGGUAUGCACUUGAGCAGUACUUCGGAGCUUGCGUUUUUCCGCAUGAGUUUUCCGUCGACCAGGAUGUAGUUCUUUGACCGUCGGAUGAGGCGCUCGUUCUCUGUUUUGUCCUGAUAGCCUGUUCCGUCUGAUAUGUAUUUGAUGAACGGGGUGCGCCAGUCACGCCCACCGGUUGCCGGAGUGGCGUCAUCUAUGAGCAUUGCCUCGGUGGGUUGCUUGUCGACCAGGGGAGGGCUUACGCUUGGCUCAUGGAUGUCCUGGACAAAAAUACCCCGCGGGAUCUGGGCCCGAGAUGAGCCUAACUUUGACAACGCAUCUGCUGCUUGGUUCUUGUCCCGGACCACGUGGAUGUACUCUAUGCCAUAGAAGUGAGUUUCCCAUUUGCGAAUUUCUUUGCAGUAGAGAUCCAUCUUCUCGUGGGUUGCGUCCCACUCCUUGUUGAGCUGGUUGAUGACCAAGGCAGAGUCGCCGUAGACAUAGAGGCGCUUGACCCCCAGUUCAACGGCUAGUCGUAUGCCGUGUAAGCAUGCUUCGUAUUCGGCGACGUUGUUUGACGCCGGGAAAAGGAUCCUAAGGACGUAGCGGAGUUUGUCCUUGUUGGGUGAUACGAACAGUAUCCCAGCGCCUGCACCGUUGAUGUUCAAGGACCCAUCGAAGAACAUAGACCAGUGGUCUGAGACAUCGGGAACGGAAGGUUCGUUGAGAUCCGUCCAUUCGGCAAUGAAAUCGACCAGGGCUUGGGACUUGACAGUGGUGCGACUCUGGAACUCCAGGGAAAAUGGACAUAACUCCAUUGCCCAUUUCACGAUUCUGCCAUUGGCGUCUUUAUUGCGCAGGAUGUCACCGAGAGGAAAGCUGGUUGUCACCAGGACUCGAUGGCCGUCGAAGUAAUGCUUCAGUUUUCUUGACGUUAUCAGGAUGGCGUAUAUAAGCUUCUGUAUUUGUGGGUACCUGGCCUUGGAUUCGUUUAAAACUUCGCUUAUGAAGUAAACGGGUCUCUGGACCUUGAAGACGUGACCUGGUUCAUCUCGCUCGACCACUAUUGCCGUGGAAACAACCCUGUCGGUUGCGGCAAUGUAAAGGAGCAGGUCUUCAUUAGGCUGAGGCGCUGUGAGGACAGGCGGUGAAGUGAGGAAGAUCUUAAGCUGAGUGAACGCGGCGUUGGCUUCUUCGGUCCAGGAGAAUUUUUCUGACGCUUUCAAUAGUUUGAAGAAAGGGAGGCCUUUUUCUCCCAGCCUUGAAAUGAAACGGCUGAGGGCGGCCAUGCAUCCGGUUAGCUUCUGAAUGUCCUUGACGUUCUUCGGUGGUCGCAUGUCGAGUACGGCUUUGACUUUUGAAGGGUUUGGUCGUAUGCCGUCGCGACUGACGACGUUGCCGAGCAGUAGACCGGAAGGAACGCCGAAAAUGCAUUUCUUGGGGUUGAGCUUCCACUUGUACCUAUUGAGUGCCUUGAAGGUUCGGUCUAAGUUGUCGAUCAGGGUGCUCGCGUCCCUUGUUUUUACGACCACGUCGUCCACGUAGGCCUCGACGAGGUCAUCGCGAAUCUCGUCGUGGAGGCAUUGCUGGAUGGCCCUUUGAUAAGUGGCCCCGGCGUUUUUAAGUCCGAAAGACAUGGUAGUGUAACAAUAUGCGCCGAAGGGUGUGAUGAAGGAUGUUUUGAUCUGAUCUUCUUCCUUUAACGAGAUCUGGUGAUAACCAGAGUAGCAAUCUAGAAAGGAGAGGAGUUCGCAUCCGGCCGUUGAGUCGACCACCUCGUCGAUGCGAGGAAGACCAAAAGGAUCUUUAGGACAGUGCUUGUUGAGAUCGGUGUAAUCAACGCACAUUCUCCAUUCAUUAUUCUUUUUGCGUACAAGAACCGGAUUGGCGAGCCAAUCGGGAUGAUACACCUCUUUUAUGAAUCCGGCUGCUAGAAGCCGUGUUAUCUCUGUCCUAAUAGCCUCCUUUUUGUCACGAGCGAACCGUCGUAGUUUUUGCUUGAUUGGUCUUGCGGUCUUCGAGACGUUUAAGGAGUGCUCGAUCAGGUUUCGUGGGACACCGGGCAUGUCUGCGGGUUUCCAUGCGAAAACGCUCACGUUGUCCUUUAGAAACCUGACGAGCGCGUCUUCCUAUUUUGGAUCCAGGUUAGCCCCGAUGAGGGCUGUCUUCUCGGGGUUACCUUCGACCAGCUGCACUUCUUUGUACUCCUUGGAUUUCGAAUUCUUUCUGGCUGUCUCUUGCUCGGGUAAUCGGAGCUGGUCGGGGGGCAGCUGUGCGGCUUGGGUUGCUGUUUCCGCCAUGCGGAUUGAGAGGUCAAUUGCCUCGGUGAUCUUGAAACUUUCUUCUUCGCAGGUGUACGCAGUAUAGACGUUGCCUCUGACGGUCAGGACGCCCUUCUCCGUGGGCAUCUUAAGCACCAGGUAUGAGUAGUGCGGGACUGCCAUGAACUUUGUCAGUGAUGGGCGGCCCAGUAUGGCGUGGUAGGUCCCGUCGAAGUCCGCGACUACGAAGUUGAUGAACUCCGUCCGGAAGUGAUCGGGUGUGCCGAAUUGGACAGGCAAUGUUAUCUGUCCGAGGGGCACCGAACUUUGACCUGGCAAAACCCCCCAGAAUUGGGCGUCGUAAGGUUUUAGUUGCGCCGGUGAUAUCUUGAGGGCGGGCAGGCUGUUGCGGAAGAGGAUGUCGAUGGAGCUUCCCCCGUCCACGAGCACGCGCUCGAAUCUGAUGCUAUUGAUGCAGGGAUCAAGAAUCAGUGGGAAACGACCCGGCUCUGGGAUAGUGGCCCACUGGUCCUUCCUGCUGAACGCGAUCUCCCUGUGGGACCAGGCGGGAAAUUUCGGAUCUGCGAUCAGCCUGUCCGUGCUGUCUAUGUUGAGGCAGGCUCUCUUUAACAGUUUUCUUUCUCGCUUGGACUCAGUGGAGACCUUGCCCCCGAAAAUGGAGUGAACCACGUCGGUAGGGCUGACAUAUUGGUGUCGGGGGUCCCUGUCUUGGUCCUCAUCCUCAUCUUCGUGGUCGUGCCCGUCGCGUUUGCUGCUUUUCUUGGCGGUGUCUUCUUGGGCGGCCCGCCGUGUAUAGAUACUUUUGAGGACGCGGCACUCUUCCAUGGUAUGGUUAGACUUCGGGUGUAGCUGGCACGGUCCCUUCAACGUUUUGUUGUAGUCGUCUUGGUAGUCCCGUCGUCCAUUGGGACGUUUGACCGUGUUUACUUCGUGGUCGUACUCGCGAGGGCGCUUUCCUCUGAAGUCGUCGCGGCUGUCGCGCCGCCGAUCCCAACCCUCUCGGUGAUCGCGGUUGUCGGAGCGGCGAUGAUUUCUGUUGUCGUAGCGACCACGACCGUCGUCUCGCCGGGAGGGCUGGUCGGUGCCUCUCGCAUCGUCUCGGAUUAGUUUUUCUGCGUCAUCAGCAUCGGCGUAAUUUUUAGCCGUGGCGAGGAGCUCCGCUACCGUUGAUGGGCGCUUACGCAAUAGCUUGUUCCUCAGCGCUUCAUGGAAACGCAAACCCUUGAUAAAGGCUGAUAUGGCCUCGUCAUGAGAAAUCCUCGGGAUUUUGAGACGCAUAUCCGAGAAUCGUCGGAUGUAAUCGCGCAGAGGUUCAUUCUUCCUGUCUCUUAUCCUUUCAAGGUCAUACUUGUUUCCGGGCUGCUCGCAUGUGGCGAUGAAGUUGUCGAUGAAAGCCUGACGCAGCUCCUCCCAAGAGUCGAAGGAGUCCUCGGGCAAGCCGAGAAGCCACUGAUGACCAGCCUGGUCGAGGACUACGGGGAAGUAAUUAGCCAUGACGUGCUCAUCUCCUGCCGCUGAUCGGACGGCGAUUUCGUAGAGAGUGAUCCAGUUCUCUGGAUUUUCCUUGCCGUCGUAUUUUUUAAGUUUUUCGAGCUUGAAAUUGCGGGGCCACACGACUUGGCGGAGGUGUGAAGAGAACUGCCUUAGGCCCGGAGGACCGUGGGUCGCGUCGUACUCGAUGCGGCGCAGGUUCUCAUGGACUGCUCUUUCUGCGGCGCGCCUGUUGAUGCGGUCCCGGGCAUCUUUGGUGGGGAUGUUGUGGCGGAGAUCCCUGUGUUGAUCUUCUUCUUCUUGGCCGCGUACGCGGUCCUGCUGGCGGCGGCCAUCGGCGUCCCGACCACCAUCAUCGCGCCGUGAGUCCCCUCGACGGUUGUCGGGGGAGCGGCUGCGGCGACGCCUGCUGGGUGAGGCCCGGCUACGAUGAGUCUGGUCGGAGGCGGCUUCCGUAUAAGAGGCGUCCUGGACUCUCUUGAGCAGAGCGGCUGUCUGUCCCAUUGCGGCGAUCAGGUGUGCUCGGAUACUGGUCCGGACUCCCUGGCAUUCGGGGGUGUCAGGAAGCCGAUCCAGAUUGGCCAUGGCGACAGCCACGUUGGCGCUUGGCGUUUUGUAGACCGGCUGGUCCCCGACCAUGUCGAAGGCAUCGUUGAGGUUGCCUGGCGGCGUCUGUUGUUGCUCGUCUGCACGCCGUCGGGCGCGCUCGGCGUUACGCUGUUCACGGAGUUGCCUCUGGUCGUCUGUUUCUCCGUCAACGGCUGGUUCGUCGGCGCUGACAUUGAAUACAAUAUCCCCUCGCCGGGGGGGGAAUAUCGGGAAUCGGUCGAAACCCGGAGGGUGUGAAGGAAAAUCCAGGUCAUAGUCCUCGUCUUCGGUGUUCACAACCUCGGUGGGGACGGAGCCGGUGCUUGAGUUGGUGCUGGAAACCUGGCCGUCCCGUAGCUCUCGGAUGGUCACCAUGUUGACAUGGUGGCGAUUGUUCCUUGUCGGCGACCAGCCCGCUUUGCUGAAAACGGAUUGGACAUGCCGUGAAUAAACAGAGGCCGAGUUGUUCAGGCCGCAAGGAUAGUCUUCCUUUUUGAGCUCGACGGAUCGUCCUGAGGGGGUUGAGGUUAUCGUCAGGGAUGUUCCCAGCCGUUCGUGUGUGGUGACACGAGUUGGCCGGCGGAAUUUCGAAGAAUCCGCUCGAGCGGCUUGGUCGGGCCGGCGCAGAACUCCAUCUAUUAGUUGGGAGACUUCGAAUAGCUUGGAGUCAGCGCGAUCGAGCGCUUGGAGGAGGUCCGAGCAGUCGAUCUCCCUUCCCUUGUAGAGCGGGAGCGGUGGUCGGGAGCUUGGUGUCGUCACGCGCGUGGUCGGAGACGACGUGGUCUCAGAUUGGAUCUGGAUCUCUUUCGGAACCGUGGUCGCGAAACCGCCGCUGCGCGUCGUCCACGUGAUUUGGCCGACGGUGAACGUGAGGCCUUCGGGCACGGUCGCGGAAGCUGGGAUCGUGACCAUCUUGUUCGCCGGAAAAGUUGCACGCACACCCCCUACCUGGCGCGCCACUGUCGACGAAAGCUGGUCGGCAGUCUACCUUGGGGUAUACCCACGGUAGUAGUUUAUCGGUAGACGGUGCGCAAACUACGAACUCGAUGGUGACGCAGGACACGGACAAGCUUUUUAUCCAGGUUCGGCCGCCGAGUUGGCGUAAUACCUACGUCCUGCGUCGGGUUGUAUUGGAUUGUGUUGAGAGAUUAUGAUGUGUUCUAGGGGGGUCCCUUGCCCCUCCUUAUAUAGUCCGGAGGGUAGGGUUACAGAUCUGGAAACUAAUCCUAGUCGGUUACAAUUGCCAUGGAUAAUUCGAUAUCAAUUCCUAUUCUAACCGACUAGAAUCCUGCUUGAUCUCCACAUCUUGUUUCCUUGCGCGAAACUCCAGGUUGUCGGAUCAAGCCUUGAACUCGUCUCGUAAUGGGCCAAGCCUCCUGGCCCAAGUCUAGCCGUAAGGGUAUAGGGGUUUGUACCCCCACACUCGGCGGCCGAACCUGGAUAAAAAGCUUGUCCGUGUCUUGCGUCACCAUCAAGUUCGUAGUUUGCGCACCGUCUACCGAUAAACUACUACCGUGGGCAUACCCCAAGGUAGACUGCCGACUAGCUUUCGUCGACAGUGGCGCGCCAGGUAGGGGGUGUGCGUACAGCUCUCCCGACGAACAAGAUGGUCAUCAUCCCCAACUUCGCGGCCAUGGCGGGCGACUUCACGUUCACCGUCAGCUUCAACAGCUUCACCGCCAUGACCACGGAGGAGGUGUAGAUCCGAUCUGCGCCAACCACUUCUUCAUCGACGUCGGCCGCGGCUCCAACCACGCUGGCUACGACUCCAACUACUCCAGCAACGUCUCCGACCACGCCGACAACGCGUCACCCGCUUCUCUGCUACAAAGGGAGGCAGAUCGACGACACCGACCUGCUCAGGCUAUCGACCAAGUUGUUUGGCCUACUUGCUCUGACCACGAGUCGCAAUAAUAAUCGCCGCGAAGAACGGCGCUACGACAGCCGCGACCACCAUCACGACAACAAGUCAAGCAACUCUCCCGACCAGACUUUCGUCCAAAGAUAAGUACACUUCUAAUAUUUUAUUUAUUUUUGGCAUAAUAUUUUUAAUAUUAUUAUUCUUCAAAACAAUUUUUUUAGCCGACUAGUUUUUUCUCCUACACGAGCUUUCCAGAGCCGGUACUGUCUCCGACUCCUCCCUACACGUGCACGAGAUCCGCCCUCUGCGUUCCGGGUGGUCGGCAGUAGCUCUCUGACGUGGCUGACAAUCCUACGCGUGCCUAGGUUCCGCACCUCAUGCUGAUUGUUGGCUAGACCAGAGCUGGUACAAGCUCUAGGACGAAUUAACUACUCGUGCUAAUUUUAUAACAAAAAAUCUAAAACUUAUCUCAGUACUGAUUUUUUUUAUCUAGAGUUUAUUUAUACAUCAUGUACUACCUGUUCUCUAUAUUUAUUUUUCAGGAGUUUGGUCCAGUCGACAAGCUACGCUCGGGGACUCGUCGACUAUUCCCUACGCUGUGUCCGGGGACUGCUCCGACCACCGAGCACGUUUACGUUCCCAACCACGCUCGGGGACUUGUCGACUACUCUUUACGCUGUGCUUGAAGACUGUGCCGACCACCGAGCACGUUUACGUUCCCAACCACGCUCGGGGACUUGUCUACCAGUCUCUACGCCGUGCUCGGGGAUUGUGCCGACCACCGAGCACGUUUACGUUCCCAACCACGCUCGGGGACUGGCCGAUCAGUCUCUAUGUCGUGCUCGGAGACUGUGACUACCGAUCGUGCUCGGAGACUCAUCAAUCACUCCCUGCGCUGUGCUCGGGACUUGCUUCGAUCACUCUCCGACCACAGCUCGGGGACUGCUUUUCUCAGUUACAUAUGAAUUGGACUGGAUAACUUGAAUUUUUUAGACCUUGCUACAAGGCUCAUACUUCGCCUUCCAGCAAGCUCGGGGACUACAUCGGUACGAUGCAUCUGGCGAUGCAUCUCAGUUUCAGAAUUUCUUUGAGAACUUUUCUUUUGAUCCUGGCACCACGUGCCUACGUCACCUACUACCAGGCUCGGGGACUAAGUGGGCACACUUCACCUUGCGGUGAAUAUGCUUGCUUUUUGAAAGACUAUACUUUUCAGAAAAGUAAAGUGGGCACACUUCACCAGGAAAGAAAUCUUUUUUGAUUAAGAGCACCAUGCAUUUUUCGAACAACCUGCUUCUUCGAUGUCAAUGUUGAUCAACUGUCAUUUGAGUUGGUCAAAAUACCGUUGCAACUGUUUGGGCGACUUUCCUGCUUAUUGAAGACGUCAAGCCUCACUGAUCGAAGAAGCUCAAGACGGCGUGUUACAUCAUAAUACAUGGUGCUCGGGGACUAGCUGUGGGGGUAUAAACCCCUAUACCCUCAUGGGCCUAUAUGGGCCGCACCAUCAGAGGUGGCUCGGCCCACAGGAUGAAGACGUGCGGCGCACGACUGGUCGGCGUGCACCGCAAGGCUACAAGAUAUUGUACCAAAUAGGAUACUUUGCUUGUAACUCUGUCCCUUCAGGAUAUAUAAGGAGGGGCAGGGGUCCCCUAGAGGACAGGUCAUACACACGAUAUUCUCUCAGCACAAAUCAAUACAACCAGACGCAGGACGUAGGUAUUACGCCAACUCGGCGGCCGAACCUGGAUAAAAAGCUUGUCCGUGUCUUGCGUCACCAUCAAGUUCGUAGUUUGCGCACCGUCUACCGAUAAACUACUACCGUGGGCAUACCCCAAGGUAGACUGCCGACUAGCUUUCGUCGACACUUAGCUUUCUUGAUUUUCCUGGAUUUGGGAGCAUGCCACUCAAUGUGUUCCCCAUCACUUUCUUUAUCCAGGAAUGACUCCUUAUCCAUCAUGUCUUCUGCACAUUCACCCCCCUUGGUGUUUAGCAUCUGACCAUUCUGAGAAACAGAAACAUUCACUCCAAGGGACUGUGACAUCAGAGAUUCUUCCUGAGUCAAGACUUCCAUUUCUUCUGUUGUCUGAACCUCUUUUUCUAUGGGAAUGAUUAACUUGGGCCACUUGCAUUUGUCCAUCAAAUAGUUCCCUUCUCGACCAUGUACCAAGAUCUUAGAAUCAGAGUGGGAAUCAAAUUCCUCUAUCACAUUCUCAACAAUGUUAUCUGUAACCCCCCCACCAGGGAUCACUAUUUGAUUUUUGUCAUGAAUACCAUCAGUACAGUUACCUGCAGCAUUGUACUCCAACAUCAAAUCUGAGUUCAGCCUCCUAGAUUCCUUUCUAGCUUCACUUUCAUUAUACUGUCUUCCAGCUUGCAAAAUAUCCAUCACACCAACGCCUGGACAAAACAUUGCCAAUGGAGUAGCCACUACCUGUUCAGACUCCCCCUCUGUCACUUCUGAGUUGCCCUGAACCUUCUCCAGAUCUUCUUCCAUCGAAUCAUCAUGAUUAGGAUCCAUUUCUUUAUCAAUUUGGCCCAUUCUAUCAAACUUACUCAUGCUCUUUUUAGUAUGAUCUUCUUUAGAAUGCUUGUCUCUGUCUUUGUCAGGCUUGUCAUCAUACUUAUUAGAUCCUGGAGGGCCUCCCAUUCCCCCCUUUCCAGAACUUUGUUUUCCCCCUUCUACCUCAAAUCUGAUGAGCUUGCCACUACCAUUGAAGAAAACUUCUAUUGCCCCUUUGAUAGCCCCCGGAUUCCUGCACCUCCCCUGUACCCUAACCGGGUCUUCCUUGAUAAUGCUGAGCUCAUCAACCACAAGAGGUUCAAUCACCAGACCUGCAAUCUCCUUAAUAGACUCCACAUCCCUAGCCAGAUCAGGAACCCCAUGGAUCUUUAUCCAAACAGUAUGUAGGAUAGAAGAAGUAUCAUACUCCCUUGCAGUUUUCUCUAUCUUACCUUUCAAGCCAUACAAAGACAUUUGGAAUUCAGACAAUUUAGAGAAAGUCUCUAGAGAAAUUUUGUCUGGAAAAACCACUAGAAACUCAUGAGUGUGAAUCUGUUUAACCUUGAAGUCCCAUUCUUCUCUAACUAAGUUCUUCAGUUCUCUGUCCACCCUCUCCUCAGUAGCCUCCCCAGCUAGGAUAAUGAGUAAUCCAGUAUUCUGAUGUGUCUUGAUUUUUGCUUCUGUAAAAUUCAUGGUAUAAAACCCCUGCCCUGGCACUCCAAAACCAAACAUCUUGAGUUUUUUGUACUCAUCUUUCUUGCAGUCCAUUGCCAUGUGGCCUACCUCUUUGCACUUAUAGCAAACUGGAUCAUUUGUGCAGUCCACCUAGAAAUGUCCAGUACCUAGGCAUCGAAAACAUUUGACAUCUUGGUUAGGGACACGGUUUCCCUUGUUGCUGAUGUGCCCCUGAUCUCCCUCUUUACUCAUACCUUGGACUAGGUUAAGAUCCGGCUGCCUUUCUCCAGAACUACCAGUAAACCGCCCUCCAGAAUCUAGGUUUCGAUUGCCAUGCAAAUUUGGACCUUGAGACCAACCCCUUUGCUGCCCUAGGUUACGAGCCUGAACUCUGCCCCCUUGAUGACUUUCUCCUCUACCACCCACGAAACCUUUGCCACGGAAGAUCCUCUCAUGAUCAGGACCGCUAGGAACCAGAGCUCGUGAGUAGUUACCUUCUUGUUUUCUCCCCCUGACACUCGCAUCCAGAUAUCUUGGAUCCUUCUGCAGUUGGCGUCUCAGGUCUUGAUCUUGUUUGAAAUCCUCUUGAAGAAGAUCGUCCUCCUCCAUCCACCCUUCAGUCCGCCAAUCCUCUUGCCUUCUUUUUGGCGGUCUGAGAUGCUCCCGGUUUGCCAUCCCAGCCUCCACUAUCCUGGAGAACGAAUGGUAGAGCGGCGCAGGAGAAGGAAGACGACGGACCUUCUUAGCUAGGUAUCCAAAUCGUCUGAUCUCUUGUUGUUGGGCUGGAUAACAGGUCUCCAUUGUAAUAUUUCCUUUAGGAAUCCAAUACCAGCCUGGCCCAGGAUCCAGCCCAUUAGGAACCCAAGAGUGGUCAAACCUAUGAUCUAUCUGAUUCUCCACUAUCUCCUGCCCCUGCUUUGUGGGCUGUUUCUGCAUUUCCAACGCACAUCCCCAUUUAACCGACGACAUUCUCCCCAUAGCUGACUCCAGGUUCUGCCAGGACGAAUCCAAGUCCUCCAUUUCCGAGUUUGUUGGAUGUGUAAAGAUGCAUUGUCUUAUCUCUUCCUCUAACUGUCUCUUCGCUCUACGUUUUCCCCCAACCGUAGACAGAGUGUAUCCUGACUGAUCCUUUAGUGUAACUGGUAUAACCUUCAGACCCAUUGUACCUUUAUUACUCAUCGUACUAAAACCAAGCUGAGGCCAAUUUUUGUCCCAAUCUGAGUCGGAAGAGAUAAUGGGUUGUUCAGAAUUACUAUUCUCAGUCUCAUUCCUCUCCCCUUUGCUUGGGCAGUGUGAUAACUCCCCUGUCAUCACACCCAAAGCAGUAGACUGAAUCUCCUUGGAAUUGCCCUUUAAAUAGCUAUGACAUAUCAGAUCCUUGUUCCCCACAUGAUCAGCACAUCCUCUCUCAUUUGCACCUUCCAUUUGUGUUCGAUCAGUUUUAUCACCUGGAACUAUUGGUGUGCGCGACCCCUGAUUCAGAACAGACCUAAUUUCUAAAUCCCCUGGAGCGAAAUUGGGCAGCACCAACCUCCGUGAACAAGGAGUAUUCAGUUGACAUGUACUAAUCCGAUUAUGUUUUUUAGCCAGGAAAUUUGCCUCAUGAACAUGUUUGUCACAAUCAUCACAGAGGAAAGCAUCAUCCGCCGGACAAAAACAGGAUGCAGGAUCAUCACAAAUAUCACAGAGUCUUAAUCCUCCCACCAUGGCGAACCUUAAACGCUCAAUCCCUAAAUGUGCGAUCCAAGGAGGUUGAGGAACUCACCGGGCUCAGUGUCGCCUCCCGAAGCCAAUCACCACCCGCCGGAGAGAAGUUACCCAGAGGCGGAUCGCCCUUCGCCGCGCCCCAGAGCAACGACCCCCCGCCGUUCCCUCCCCACCCUCGGCCGGCGGUCUCAGCGUCGCCUCCCAAAGCCGGUCGAAGCCCAAUCGCGAGACUCGCCGGAGAGAAGCGAGAUGCUCGGAGGCGAACCGCCGGAGAGUCGCCCUCGUCUCCGCUAUGGUGACUCGCCGCCGUCUCACCAGGUGAUUUUCCCCCUUGACAGGUUCACAUCUCACUGGCACAGCCGACCCCGGCUCGUACUGUUUCUAUAGCUAUUAGCUAAACCAUUGGACUUGUAGCACGGAGUGUAAGCUAUACUAUUUGAUUACUGUGGGUGUUGUUACAAGUGCUUUGCCCGGGGAGCAGCAGCAGCUUGCGCAUGCAUGUCGAAUGUGGCAGUCAGAUGAGAAUACGAGAUGUGCCGCGCGCCGCCCCUGCCCGUUCGUCUUCGUCCUCGGCUUGACUGAUGACCCCUUUUGUACUGUACCUGUACUGGAUGCUUCUUCCCUUCCCUCGGCUGGCGCGCGGCUGCACCCAACUCGCAAGUCGCAAGUGGCGAAUGAAAGCAGCAGCCGCCCCGCACGGCGUGUGUCGACGACCGUACCCCGAGUUUGGAAAACGUCCACGUCGUGGCUCGUCAGAGGCUUCAAAUCCUGUCGACGGCAGCAGCUAUGUUGGAAGCGGCCUGGCUCCAAGACGGACUCCGACUCUGAUCCUGAGCCGCUGCGACGAACCGUACCGAAGCGAACAGGGCAAGCGCCGACAAUAAAAUGAGACGCGACACCACCGACUCCUUCCUCAAUCGAGAGUUCGAGAUCUAGAACUAGGGUUCCAAAAUCCCAAUAGACGAAAGGAAUCCCCAAAAUCUCCAGGCGCGGCAGCCCAGAUCCACCUACGGUCGGCGAGGAGGAUUUCAACAUGGUGAGCACCACCAACAACGCUGGUUGCAGAGGAGACGGGCGGUUUUUCUAAAGAGGCAGAGGCGGCGGCGGCAGUGGUUGUAGAGGAGACGUCUUCUUUUUCCAUGGAUGACAAGAAGGCACGUUCUCCUACGGUGGUGCAGGACUCUAAGGCCGUGGCCGAUGCGGAGGAGGCUGUUGCUGAUGCCAAGGCAGCAGCGGCCGCCGCCGGUGGCGACGGAGAGGACGAGUGCCCGACGUGGAUGACCUGGACGCAGUUCGUCGUGGCCAAUAAGAGGCUAUCCCGGGAGGAGAUUGAUUCAAUCCUGUCCCGGCAGCGGAAGCCUUUCGAGUCCACGGAUUUGUACGAGGAUAUGAUUGAGGACAGCUCUACUACUAAGGAGGAUCUUGAGCGUGAGGCUGCAGAUCACGAGUACCACGAGGACAAAUUAUCCGUGUGGCGGGACAGGGUGCGCAAGGAGUAUGCAGACAAGGGAUUCUUCGCGGUGGACGACGAUUAUAUUGCCGAGAGGCUCGAAUUGGAGGAAUAUUACAACCAGUCUGUGAGAGAAAUGCUCUCUGAGCUUAAUCUAGACGCGUCCAUCUUCGGUGACGAGUGAGCAAGACAAGGAAGUGAAGAUUAAUGUGGAGAUUUAUAUGUAAUCUACCCAGCUGGGAUGAUUGCAGACUAUAUGUCUAUCUUUGUUUUUUUUUAUAUCUAUCUUAUAUUCUUAAUUAUUUUUGUUGCCCUCCACCAAUGUAAUGGGUCUAUCCGUCUAUGAAGACAGUGUCUCUGUCUAUCUUAUUAGCAGCUAUGAUGCCCAAUGAGCAGUACAUGUUGCAGACCAGAAUGCUUUUGUUGAUUGAAAUGAUGUUUUCAAGGUCUUGGGUUCACCGAGCAUGAACUCUGGAUAAUCUUUAAUAUCAUAAAUUCAUAAUAUCGAUCUAUGGUGUUAUCCUUUUUCGUUUCUUAAUUUCUGUUGCUUCGACACCUCUUUUUUCUUCUGUUAUUAAUAUGUAUUAACCAGUUCAAUGCGCUGAUGACACUUUAUAUAAAAAUCCUGUUUACAACAAUGUGCUAUUAAUAUGCCGAGAGAUCCAAAUUCUAUGGUGUUAAUUUGUGCAGUCCUCUGUGUUACAACAAUGCGUUGUUCAAUUCUUCAUUGAAAGAUCUAGUAAGCUUGCAUGAACUGGCCUUUGUUCAGACAUGCUGCUAGAGAAACAGUGAUAGCUAACAUAAUUUCCUGGUGUGUGAAGCAACAUGUGGCGUUUAGUUAUUUUAAUUAUUAGCAACUACUCACUCUGUCCUGAAGGUAGUACUUCUAUUUUCAUAUAAGUAAAGUUGUAAUUUGUGUUACUAUAGACCCAAAUAGUUGCUUAGUAAAGCAUGCCCCAAAAGUCAGUAUUUAUGUAUAUAGUUAAGGGGAAAUAGUUGAGGUUUUGUGAUGUUAACCUUGCUAGAAAAUAUAGUUGCUGUUUUUCCCCUUUACAGUAAUCUUUUCUUUUUCCAAUGGGUUACAGUUUUCUUGAUCAAUCAAAAGUUUCAAGUAUAAUUGUUUGGUUAUUCGUUUUCGUUUGCUUUACAGUUGAAGUUUCUGAAUGCCUAGGACUGCAGGAUCAUAUUGCAUGAUAGAAUGAUGGCCAAGCAGCCCUUCAGUCUGAUUAAAAUCAAUUGGUGCUUUAUCAUUGUAUUGUCAUAUAGUCUUAUAGACUAUGGCUGAUAAUCUGGCUUGUCUCAUUACAGUUUGGGUGCACACUAACAUGAAGAUGCUGACAGGCAGAAUGACUUCUUGACUUCGGUGACGAGUGACCAAGAUGACGACUUCCUCGACAAGGAAGAAGGAAAGGCAGAUUAAUUUGCAAGAUGAACCCUUGUAUGACAUAUGAGGUCUUUCUGAGAGUUAAUUUGCAACCAAUUCUGCUAUUAAGGGAGCUCUGUACGUUUCCCCUAUAUUUUCUGAUAUCUAUGAAGGAAAGUGGUUUUCGUAUCUUACUGAAAAACAUUUGCCAUGUUGAUGGUCACAUGUGAAUUGUGAGUUUUGGAUACAGCUAGGAAGUACUUCAUACAUGAACAUUUUUACCAUGAAUAAGAGUUAAUUUUCCAUAAUCUUUAGUUACUUUCAGAUCUACGGCUAUCAUAAAAAAGUAUAGGAUUUUCAUAGGAGGGCACAUCAGCAUAAAUUACAAAUUGAUGUAUUGGAAACAGAGAAGGGGACUGCAACACUAGAAGCAAGAGCCUCUGUCAGGGAAUUUAGCUUUGAUGUCUUCAAAUUAGAGGACGGCAGGAAAUCCAUAGUACAUCCGUAGUUACAACAUCUUUGACCGAUAACCCUCGACCAAAGGAGCGACGCUCAAUACAAACAUGUAAAUAGUACUCCUAGGCCAAGGGGUAAUAGUGUAGCACCGCUAUAUUUUAAACUUAAACAAAGAUUCUAAAAGUAGAACAACAGCUUGCAUUUAGAUAACGUCUUUUUUCUUGUAUGAUCUCAAAUCAGAACUCUGUAACAUCAUUUCGGGUCUCAGAUUAGCUUAAACAAAUAAUGCAGUACAUACGAAGCAAAUAAAUGGCUGCUAGCAAAAGUUUAUUCACAGCAGAUGAAGCGCUCCAUUCCCCAGCAGAUUGUAAGUUCUUGUUGAUUGGUGAUGAGCACCCGGCACAGCAUCACUUCAGGGAACAUCCGCCAAGAAAGGAUCAGGAUCGCAGCAGGCGAACUAGACGAUCAAAAUCGCACAGAUAUUCAGUGAACAUGCUUACAGAUGGUAACAGCUGCCAUGAUGCAGGACUAGUGCUUCACAAUUAACAAGCAUUUGGGUUAAAAAAAAUAUCACAAGCGCUAUAUUUCUAGCCGUCGGAGAUAGUUCACCACCAGCUCGGAAGACAAAAGGGGAUGCUUGCAUACAUCCAAUCCAAAGGAUUUAGAUUCUGACUGCAAUGAACAUAUGAACAUACCCCUGUAUACUCGCAUAAUAUAUGGCUCCAUACUCCAGGAUGACUCCCAUAAAAGCCCAGUAACAGGAAAUUGAAAUUCCGCAAUCAACAACCACCAUAGAGCAAUAGCAGCAUAACAAACUGCAUACGACUAAAAAAGAGAAGUACGAGAUUGCCAGCAUGUAUCAAGCAUUGAAACCAGUGGCAGCAAAGCGUAAAGUGCAAUGACUGGAACGAAUCAGCAUACACUUGAUUCAUGGAGUGUUCAAGAGUACAAACAUAAUGUCAAAACUGGGUUUUGCCAAGUAACCAUCCUAGUCUCAUGCGUUUUUAUAGUGGUGAAGCUUGUAUAGAAGGACUUUUCCACCCGCGUGUCCAACAGACAAGAACCCGCUGCCAGGGCUGAAAUCCAGGCAACGUGGAUAGUGAAGGCUGAACCGAGGCCCUGGCCAGUUCUGGAACACGCUGAACGACGGGACAUGCACAAGCCUCAUCCCAUUCCUCUCUUUCCUUGAGCUGAUUGCCAAGAUCUGGGCAUCAUGGUUGAAUUUCAUUUCGCCAAUGUCAGUGGUCAGGUUUUCGAUCGUCUUCAGUGGCUUCCUCUUCCCACCAAGAAAAUCAUCCCUCUUGUACACAUUCACGAUGCCGCUGGUGGAGCCUGUGGCAAACAAAGAGCUGUCCUGCGAGGUGCAAAGUGAAAUGCCAGCCAGGGAACCAUCGUCAAAAGCCUUGUGGAUGCACUUCCUCGUUCCGAGAUCCCAGUGGUAAACAUGGCCAUCUCCACCGCUGCUCAGCAGCUGGUUUCCACCAUCCGCAAAAGCCAGUGAACGCACGCUUCCGUUCAUCUUGAGGGUUCCAAUGAGCUGCUUUGUCUUGGCAGAAAUAAGAAGGAUGUACCCUUCGUUACCGACAAAAGCAAUGGUUCUCGAAUCAGGUGAUAUCUCAAAGCUCUCCAGGCUUUUCUCCUCACGCCCCGUCAAAGGUCCAAUCUUGCUAACAGCAGCAUUCACCAGGUCAAAUGAGUAGAAGAACUUUCUCCUGCCUGAUAGCAUCACCUCAGAGCCAUCAGGUAGAAAUGAGGCCUUGUGUACUGGACAGUCCCCAAUGAAUAUGCUCUGGAUCUUGGGGUUUCUCUUUCCAUCAAUCUGGAAAAACCUGAGAUGCUUGUCCAAACCUGCAGCAAGCAUCAGCUGCCCAUUCCUAUGAAACUGCACUGAAUUGAUAGGACCACUUGAUGGAUCCUGGAUAUUGGCAUCAACAAGUCUUGAGAACUCUAACAUGCCCAGCUGUCAUGAUACGGGCUGUAUGGACAUCCCUAUGGUCAAGUAUUGCAGGUGUCAUCCUUGGUUUUUACUCCACCCACCCUAAAUCCGACCGUUGUCAUCCCUACCUCCACCUUGCUGCCGUCAAUGUUGGAAACGGGCCCUUCGUUGGAUCUUAGGCCUGGCCCAUCUAUGUUGGAAGCGGCCUGGCUCCAAGACGGACUCCGACUCUGAUCCUGAGCCGCUGCGACGAACCGUACCGAAGCGAACAGGGCAAGCGCCGACAAUAAAAUGAGACGCGACACCACCGACUCCUUCCUCAAUCGAGAGUUCGAGAUCUAGAACUAGGGUUCCAAAUCCCCAAUAGACGAAAGGAAUCCCCAAAGGCACUGGUUGCAGAGGAGACGGGCCUCUUUUUCUAAAGAGGCAGAGGCGGCGGCGGCGGCAGUGGUUGUAGAGGAGACGUCUUCUUUUUCCAUGGAUGACAAGAAGGCACGUUCUCCUACGGUGGUGCAGGACUCUGAGGCCGUGGCCGAUGCGGAGGAGGCUGUUGCUGAUGCCAAGGCAGCAGCGGCCGCCGCCGGUGGCGACGGAGAGGACGACUGCCCGACGUGGAUGACCUGGACGCAGUUCGUCGUGGCCAAUAAGAGGCUAUCCCGGGAGGAGAUUGAUUCAAUCCUGUCCCGGCAGCGGAAGCCUUUCGAGUCCACGGAUUUGUACGAGGAUAUGAUUGAGGACAGCUCUACUACUAAGGAGGAUCUUGAGCGUGAGGCUGCAGAUCACGAGUACCACGAGGACAAAUUAUCCGUGUGGCGGGACAGGGUGCGCAAGGAGUAUGCAGACAAGGGAUUCUUCGCGGUGGACGACGAUUAUAUUGCCGAGAGGCUCGAAUUGGAGGAAUAUUACAACCAGUCUGUGAGAGAAAUGCUCUCUGAGCUUAAUCUAGACGCGUCCAUCUUCGGUGACGAGUGAGCAAGACAAGGAAGUGAAGAUUAAUGUGGAGAUUUAUAUGUAAUCUACCCAGCUGGGAUGAUUGCAGACUAUAUGUCUAUCUUUGUUUUUUUUAUAUCUAUCUUAUAUUCUUAAUUAUUUUUGUUGCCCUCCACCAAUGUAAUGGGUCUAUCCGUCUAUGAAGACAGUGUCUCUGUCUAUCUUAUUAGCAGCUAUGAUGCCCAAUGAGCAGUACAUGUUGCAGACCAGAAUGCUUUUGUUGAUUGAAAUGAUGUUUUCAAGGUCUUGGGUUCACCGAGCAUGAACUCUGGAUAAUCUUUAAUAUCAUAAAUUCAUAAUAUCGAUCUAUGGUGUUAUCCUUUUUCGUUUCUUAAUUUCUGUUGCUUGGACACCUCUUUUUUCUUCUGUUAUUAAUAUGUAUUAACCAGUUCAAUGCGCUGAUGACACUUUAUAUAAAAAUCCUGUUUACAACAAUGCACUAUUAAUAUGCCGAGAGAUCCAAAUUCUAUGGUGCUAAUUUGUGCAGUCCUCUGUGUUACAACAAUGCGUUGUUCAAUUCUUCAUUGAAAGAUCUAGUAAGCUUGCAUGAACUGGCCUUUGUUCAGACAUGCUGCUAGAGAAACAGUGAUAGCUAACAUAAUUUCCUGGUGUGUGAAGCAACAUGUGGCGUUUAGUUAUUUUAAUUAUUAGCAACUACUCACUCUGUCCUGAAGGUAGUACUUCUAUUUUCAUAUAAGUAAAGUUGUAAUUUGUGUUACUAUAGACCCAAAUAGUUGCUUAGUAAAGCAUGCCCCAAAAGUCAGUAUUUAUGUAUAUAGUUAAGGGGAAAUAGUUGAGGUUUUGUGAUGUUAACCUUGCUAGAAAAUAUAGUUGCUGUUUUUCCCCUUUACAGUAAUCUUUUCUUUUUCCAAUGGGUUACAGUUUUCUUGAUCAAUCAAAAGUUUCAAGUAUAAUUGUUUGGUUAUUCGUUUUCGUUUGCUUUACAGUUGAAGUUUCUGAAUGCCUGGGACUGCAGGAUCAUAUUGCAUGAUAGAAUGAUGGCCAAGCAGCCCUUCAGUCUGAUUAAAAUCAAUUGGUGCUUUAUCAUUGUAUUGUCAUAUAGUCUUAUAGACUAUGGCUGAUAAUCUGGCUUGUCUCAUUACAGUUUGGGUGCACACUAACAUGAAGAUGCUGACAGGCAGAAUGACUUCUUGACUUCGGUGACGAGUGACCAAGAUGACGACUUCCUCGACAAGGAAGAAGGAAAGGCAGAUUAAUUUGCAAGAUGAACCCUUGUAUGACAUAUUAGGUCUUUCUGAGAGUUAAUUUGCAACCAAUUCUGCUAUUAAGGGAGCUCUGUACGUUUCCCCUAUAUUUUCUGAUAUCUAUGAAGGAAAGUGGUUUUCGUAUCUUACUGAAAAACAUUUGCCAUGUUGAUGGUCACAUGUGAAUUGUGAGUUUUGGAUACAGCUAGGAAGUACUUCAUACAUGAACAUUUUUACCAUGAAUAAGAGUUAAUUUUCCAUAAUCUUUAGUUACUUUCAGAUCUACGGCUAUCAUAAAAAAGUAUAGGAUUUUCAUAGGAGGGCACAUCAGCAUAAAUUACAAAUUGAUGUAUUGGAAACAGAGAAGGGGACUGCAACACUAGAAGCAAGAGCCUCUGUCAGGGAAUUUAGCUUUGAUGUCUUCAAAUUAGACGACGGCAGGAAAUCCAUAGUACAUCCGUAGUUACAACAUCAUUGACCGAUAACCCUCGACCAAAGGAGCGACGCUCAAUACAAACAUGUAAAUAGUACUCCUAGGCCAAAGGGGUAAUAGUGUAGCACCGCUAUAUUUUAAACUUAAACAAAGAUUCUAAAAGUAGAACAACAGCUUGCAUUUAGAUAACGUCUUUUUUCUUGUAUGAUCUCAAAUCAGAACUCUGUAACAUCAUUUCGGGUCUCAGAUUAGCUUAAACAAACAAUGCAGUACAUACGAAGCAAAUAAAUGGCUGCUAGCAAAAGUUUAUUCACAGCAGAUGAAGCGCUCCAUUCCCCAGCAGAUUGUAAGUUCUUAUUGAUUGGUGAUGAGCACCCGGCACAGCAUCACUUCAGGGAACAUCCGCCAAGAAAGGAUCAGGGUCGCAGCAGGCGAACUAGACGAUCAAAACCGCACAGAUAUUCAGUGAACAUGCUUACAGAUGGUAACAGCUGCCAUGAUGCAGGACUAGUGCUUCACAAUUAACAAGCAUUUGGGUUAAAAAAAAUAUCACAAGCGCUAUAUUUCUAGCCGUCGGAGAUAGUUCACCACCAGCUCGGAAGACAAAAGGGGAUGCUUGCAUACAUCCAAUCCAAAGGAUUCAGAGUCUGACUGCAAUGAACAUACCCAUGUAUACUCACAUAAUAUAUGGCUCCAGACUCCAGGAUGACUCCCAUAAGCCCAGUAACAGGAAACUGAAAUUCCGCAAUCAACAACCACCAUAGAGCAAUAGCAGCAUAACAAACUGCAUACGACUAAAAAAGAGAAGUACGAGAUUGCCAGCAUGUAUCAAGCAUUGAAACCAGUGGCAGCAAAGCGUAAAGUGCAAUGACUGGAACGAAUCAGCAUACACUUGAUUCAUGGAGUGUUCAAGAGUACAAACAUAAUGCCAAAACUGGGUUUUGCCAAGUAACCAUCCUAGUCUCAUGCGUUUUUAUAGUGGUGAAGCUUGUAUAGAAGGACUUUUCCACCCGCGUGUCCAACAGACAAGAACCCGCUGCCAGGGCUGAAAUCCAGGCACCGUGGAUAGUGAAGGCUGAACCGAGGCCCUGGCCAGUUCUGGAACACGCUGAACGACGGGACGUGCACAAGCCUCAUCCCAUUCCUCUCUUUCCUUGAGCUGAUUGCCAAGAUCUGGGCAUCAUGGUUGAAUUUCAUUUCGCCAAUGUCAGUGGUCAGGUUUUCGAUUGUCUUCAGUGGCUUCCUCUUCCCACCAAGAAAAUCAUCCCUCUUGUACACAUUCACGAUGCCGCUGGUGGAGCCUGUGGCAAACAAAGAGCUGUCCUGCGAGGUGCAAAUUGAAAUGCCAGCCAGGGAACCAUCGUCAAAAGCCUUGUGGAUGCACUUCCUCGUUCCGAGAUCCCAGUGGUAAACAUGGCCAUCUCCACCGCUGCUCAGCAGCUGGUUUCCACCAUCCGCAAAAGCCAGUGAACGCACGCUUCCGUUCAUCUUGAGGGUUCCAAUGAGCUGCUUUGUCUUGGCAGAAAUAAGAAGGAUGUACCCUUCGUUACCGACAAAAGCAAUGGUUCUCGAAUCAGGUGAUAUCUCAAAGCUCUCCAGGCUUUUCUCCUCACGCCCCGUCAAAGGUCCAAUCUUGCUAACAGCAGCAUUCACCAGGUCAAAUGAGUAGAAGAACUUUCUCCUGCCUGAUAGGAUCACCUCAGAGCCAUCAGGUAGAAAUGAGGCCUUGUGUACUGGACAGUCCCCAAUGAAUAUGCUCUGGAUCUUGGGGUUUCUCUUUCCAUCAAUCUGGAAAAACCUGAGAUGCUUGUCCAAACCUGCAGCAAGCAUCAGCUGCCCAUUCCUAUGAAACUGCACUGAAUUGAUAGGACCACUUGAUGGAUCCUGGAUAUUGGCAUCAACAAGUCUUGAGAACUCUAACAUCCCAGGUAAGAGCUUGACAGUAUCCUUGACAACAAGCUCAUCGUUAUUUUGAAGGAUAUCAUCAACACAACCCUCAUCAUCAGACUCACCAUCUGACGCGGCAGGAAGAGAAGUUUUCCGGUCCAUAUCAGCCCAGCCAGUGAAGGGGUUCAAUUUGGCAUGCUGACCACGCAGCCUGGCCUCAUACUCUUUCCCUGAAAUCAAAUGCUCAUCUUCCUCUUUUCUUAGCUUCCUCAACCUUGAAACCUUCACGAUGUCCACUUCUGUCCUUUCUUCUUCCUCAUCCACCCAUACAGGCUUCCUCCCCUUGAUACGCACCACAUCUUCCUCAUCUUCAUGGGCCAUAUCCUCCUCAUAUAUAGGAAAAUGAUCCACGCCACCACCAGCGGACCUAUCUGUGAAAAACAAAGGCGCAUCCCGGUCAGGAGCUACUACUGCAGCCCCAGCCUCAGUGCCAAACUCCAGUGGCGCAUAAAGGGAACCAAACAAUGAGCUCUCCAGCUGCCGCAUCUCCUCUUCCUCUUUGUUCUGCUGGGACUCCUGCACCUUAGUCCUUUUCUUCUUCCUUUCCUUAUUGUGAUUCUUCAACUUUGCUUCCUUCCCAACCUCUGCAUCUAUGGAGGUCGGAGAGCCAAUGUUCUCGUCAUUGCCAUCAUCAGCUUCACUUUUCUUGAGGCGGCGCUUCUGGACCGCGUUCUGGGAUAUCAAGCUCAUCUUUCCUGAAGAAUUAGUCUGCCAAAACAACAAAGUCCUGUCAAAAUCAUCACAAUAACAUAAAUCAUACAACUUCUAAUAGGGCCUGUUUGGUUCCCCUUGCUAAAUUUUAGCCAACUAAAAUUAUUUUAGCUAUUCUUGGGUGACUAAUGGAACUAAACUAUUUUAGCUCCUUUUUAGUCAGUGUGUUUGGAACUUUAGCUACUAAAGUGACUAAAGGUUAGUUGCCUAAAAUUUAGUAAGGGGAACCAAACAGGCCCAUAGUUAUGCAUUUGGAUAUAAAAGCUACAACAGAUCAAUAGCCUCAUAAACCAAGACAUGCAAAACAAAUCAAUGGUGCACACAUAGAUAAAGUACAGGUUCCUGGGUCCUAUGUAUAAACUAUAAACUACUAUGCACCAAGGAUAAAUAAGCAUGUUUUUUUUGGGUUAAAGCAGUAGCAACAUAGCAUUAGCAUUAAAAUUGUCAUUCAUUCUUGCAUUGUGCCAUUUUGCUAAUCUUUUCUAGAUUUCUAAUAAGCCAAACACUGAAGCAGCCAGGCAACCUGCUGUAGCUGCUGGCUCCCUCCACAAUCAGACCAAGUGACCAGACAAUUUGACUACAGGAGAAGGUCAGGAAGGGAAUACAAGAGAGGGAACAGAGAAUAAACUGGCCAUGGACUUGCAGGUACUAGAUGUGUAGUCCCUGACUCUUAAACACAAACAAACAGGACGUCUAGAACUCCACUCUAUGAAGGAGAGUUAUGAGUAGUUUCUCUCGGAAAGUGCAUCAGAUUGGUCAUCCAAACUAGAUAAUGGAUAGUUCAGAGGAAACAUGACAGAUGUCGCAGGACCAUGACAACAAUUAGUAGUUCAAUAUGAUUGUAGAUGAGCAAAUUAACAUGAUCCUACUAUACAGCUUAACAUGUCAUGAGAUCAAGAACCCAAAGAAAUAGGUCUCAAUCUAUCUCAACAACACUGAAUGAUGAUAAGACGAAUGAAACAUUACAUAAACAAGUCCAGCAAAUGAGCACAAUCAGCAAGACAUCAUGAAGUUCAGAGCGUGCAGUAAAAUAUCAGCUUACUCAAUUGGGAGGGGGAUUAAAAAAUACCCAACGCUAAUGUGUCUUAAGAUUAUAAUUUCCAAAACUUAAUAAACAAAAAAAAAAAGACUGCGAUUUGCAAUCCUGUGGCUAAAACUUGAAAAUUCUACUGUGUUAUGCUUGCUUGGCAUUGGUUAUACUUGACACCACAGCUAUUUGAAAGUACCGAUGAAUCUUUAUCUUUAUUAUAAAAGAAUGAAAUGGCUGAGAACAGAACUCCCUUCUCCACAAUAAAUACAAUCUCUGGAGUGCAUAACAACAUGGUAGGAAACUCAAAUGCUCACCCCAAAAAAAUGCUAAAUGGGACCUGUAAAAUGCUAAACUUAACCUUGUCACCAGUUCAAAAGAGCAAGACAAUACAGUGCCAGAUAUGCGCAUACACAAUCCUGAGUCCUGAUCAUGGGCAUGGAGCAAAUUCGCGUCUAGAACAUAUGGCUCUUCCAACCAAACAGAGCUCGAGACCUCCUGAUUCACUGCUACCGAAUUCAAAGCUUGUGAACUAUGGCGGGGGAUUCGGGCUCACCUUCAGAGGACCGGAGGGGAUGGAUGAAGACGGCAGGACCCGUGUGGGUGCGACAGUGGAGCGGUGGAGGGAGAGAGCGGGAGAGGCGCGAGCAGCGGCGGCGUGCGGUGAAGUUGGGGCGUGGCCGACUUGGGGGGUGCGGACGCGGCGUGCGGUGCGGCUGAGGCUAGGGUUAUACCGUGGGCUGGGCCUUACUGCGGCUGCUUUCGUGGUCCUCACUGCGGCUGCUUUCGUAGUAGAGCCGUGGCCCAUGGGCCCGUAGGGCAAAAAUCCUACCCCACAUGAGCCGUGUUGCUGAGAUUUAUUAGAGGGCGCAAUGUGCAAACUAAGCUGACUUUGAGUAGCUUUGCAUGUUUCUGUUCGGAGCUAAUUUGAUCUUGGCAUGACCAGGAACAAUUUGCACAUGCAUGCGUAUCAAAAUACAAUCAGCGUAGCGAAAUGCAAAGGCAAAAAAAUAAUGUAAAAAAACCAAGCACGCCAGAUGGCCAAGGUCCAUUAUCAUCUGAUGAAGAGUUCAGCGGAACAACGAAAUAUGAGUCAGUUCGAACAUCCUCUACGUACCCAGAUACUGCAAUGCUCCAAGAAAAUACAUCACUGGAACCCUCAACAGCACUACGCUACUAUUCUCAAGAGGGACGAGACGGGGCUGUUUUAAUGUUUUAUUACAUGACAUCCUGUACAUUACUGGAGGGACCUAGUGAAAUAACAAUCGCUCCCAAAUGGGGCGAGGCAGUGGGGCUACGAGACAACGCGAAAUCAAAGCCCCAACAGCUAGUGGAUAACAUGCUCCAAUUGGCUAAACAAUAAUUCUUCUCAAUUUUCUAGGGCUUCAAAAAACAAAAGAAAACUACUGCUGUGCCCGGUGUAUGCGGGGAGUGAUUGCUCCGACGUUCCUGGUCAUCUAAUGUUUACUCCCAUACAGGAUUUAGGUCUUUAGGGGAGACAGGUCUAUGUUUUAUUUGGGACGCUUGCGGUAAGGCUGCAUCAUAUCACCCACAGUGUCUUUGAUGUAGGUCCCAACUCUAUUCAGGUUCUUAGCCACACCAUUCGCCACAAGCCCUGCAUUCCUCUGAAAUCUGCGUUCAAAGACAGUUGUUGAAAUGCUAAUGCGAAUUUCAGAACUUACAAAUUCAUAUAUAAACCAAAAUACCAACUCACUUAGUUAAGAAAUCAUCUCCCACGUGCCCUGGUUGCCCUGGUUUGUAAUGACGUCGUUUUAGAUCUGUGGAAUUAUACAGAUGAGUAGAAGUUUUGAGAACAGAAACAAUGUGAAUCCUGCAGGCAGAUAAUUACAAAAUAAUGCAAGAAAGAAGCAUGUUUCAAACACGCAAAACAGCAAAAGUAAUGCUUAAAGCACACAGGAGACAGACAAGAUACUUGGUAAUCAGAUAUUUUUCACAGUUUCACCAAUGACGCGUGUAGUUUUAGGACCAAGUGCAUAUAAAUCAGAACUAAAAAUCAAAUAGCAUUGACAGUGUAUUUCAGGUAAAAUGCACAUGAUGGUAGAUUGAUCAACUAGAAAUUAAUAUAUUUGAAUAAGCAAGUGCAACACAUUAAGCACCUCUGUCAGUGACCAAACAUUCGAACUUUUCAAGCAUAUAUAUUGUGGUAGCUUUGCCAACACUCUCACGGUGUAACUGGUCAGCACAACACGCCAAAGAAGCGGUUGGCUGAGCCAGCCCGGGUUCGAGUCAUGGGACCAUCUGGUCGAGUUUUUUUUUGUUUAUAUAUUGUGGCAGCUUUGCAGUUUCUAACAGAAGACAAUGUUUUCUUACCUUCUUUCUUAACAUUUGUUGGGACUUUUCUAUCUGCCAAUAGCUGGAAAAGGGGAAAAGAUAUUCUUUGUUAGCAAAAUAGACAUGUGAAUGAUCAUAAGACGCAAUUUAACUUAUAGCUACAAAACACUAGCUGAGCAGUUCAAACAGUCAGUGCAGAAUAAAUCUGGAGGAAAAACAAGACAGAUUUCAGAAUAGAAUGACCGCAUUUAUUUGUACUGUGGUUGCGAAAAGAAAAGCUUGCAUGAUUAUUGUAAGAAACAUAUAAGUUAUGAAGAUAACAAAUUGACAUGAAUAUUCAUCCCACCAUUCUGACAUUCAUCAACAUAACUAAAGCUCAAUUUUCUCAUUAGAUCCUGAGUCACAAUCAUCUCUGGUACAUCAGCUAUAGUUGGAUAAUGUUCACACUUAACAACAUUGAAGACACCAUUGUGCCUAACUGCUUCCUUAUCCAUCAUGUCACUCUGACAUGGUCCUGACUUGUGAAUGCAUCAUAAAUGCAUAGGAAUUACUUGGUUAAGCAGAUAUUACCUCAACUCCAGCACAAACAGGUAGUUGUGCACGUGCCUUAUCUCGUAUCCCUGUGGGAGUUUCCUUGUCAUCUAAGUACAUUGAAUAGCCAAUGCAUCCAUAUCUGAAAUCUGCAAGAUAGCGACCUUCUUGGAUAGCUUCCAGUUCAAGUUCUCCAACCAUACGCUCAGAAACUGAUACACAGUUAAGAGGAAGGAAAUAGUCAAUCAAACAGUUAAAAAAGAAUGGAAUCAGAUAAGAAAAUAGACAGACCAUGAAACGGAGUUCAAGAGUAAUACUGCUCUCCUUACUUGAUAAGACAAUAAAUCAAGUAUAUAUGUUAUAGACACAGGUAAUUUUGCAGUGAGUCACAGGAGAGCCUUAGCACAAUUUUACAGGACAGAUCAAAGUUUAGAUUGUCUAUAACCUACGCUUUUGGUUGGUAGUUAACUAGCAUUAACAAUUGCACAGGAGUUUAUAGAUGAACUCAAGUGUGUCAAUUAUAUUUUUCAACUCAACAGAAGAAAUUCCCCUAAUAGUAGAUCUAACCUAAUGCUAUUCGGUGGGAUAAUCUGGGACCCUAAAACUGUACAGAAAAGCUUAUAUUUCCCGGAACUUUUGGGGACAGCUAGUAGCACACAAUCCUAAUAGCACCUAUCAUACAUACAAGGUGGGAGAACCCAACAAAAUCUCAAAUUGAACGCCUCAUCAUGGAACAAAGUUACAUCUUACACAAUGUAAUGAGCCAAUGCAAAAACCCUAGCACCUAUCAUACAUACAAGGGUUAAGACUAAAUUGCACAAAGGUAAUACUUGGUAGAGAACCUCAUGUGAACCAUAUGCACCAAGCCAAGCCAUAUAGAAUAGUUCAAAUUUCGCACUGCUGAAAGCCUACUCAUUUGGUUGUCAUUUUUCAUUGCUCUGUGACCUAGCUGUAACAUAGGGCUAAAGAGUUUACAUCUAAACCUGUGUGGAUAAUGGAUUAAUCAGGUUUGAUGGAUGAUAAGCCCUGAUAUUACACCUUUCCUAGCACAACUUGAGACCAUAUACAGAACAUCCCUUUGACAGAAAGGGAUUCAUAGAUGCUGAGUGAGCAGCAGAGAGGCAACCAAGAGGAAACCACUACCCAGCAGGCCGCCACUCACAGCGGCGAACCCAGUAAAAGCGAGGGGGAUUUGGAUGCUGUGGCUGGCCGAAUCAGCAAAACCCUAGCGCAGGCAGAGACAGGGGGUUUAGUGGCCGGAGAGGCGCGGCUACCUUGGGGAAUGGCGCGGGUGACGCCGACGCAGACGGGGCCACGCGCUCGCGACCUGAGCGCCGACGAGUAGUAGAGGCAGCCCUUGCAGGACUUCCCCUUCACCAUCCCUCCUCCUGCCCCCGCUCCCGCUGGCGCUGCCGCUCCCCCUCUCGCCGCCGGCGUGGGGGCGCCCGCCUCCCCGGCAGCGCGCUCCAUGGCCGGGCCACGGGCGGCUGGGGCGCGCGGCGUCGGGAGAGGGGUUGCGGCGGAAUGGGCGGAUCGGCAACCGCGUCGGGAGGCGCAGGCGGUGGCGGCGUGAACUCGAACAGAAAUGCUAGGCGUUCGCUGCUGCCGAGGUUUUUACGCCACGGCUUCCAAACGAGACCACGUAUUGGCCUUUUGCAAGUGUAGCAUAGACUUGCGCACAUUGGACACACACCACAGGCCACGACGUGCCGGCAAAAUGAAUAAAUAAAUAAAUAAAUAAUCGAACAAGGUGUUUUUCCAUCAACAAAUCAACAUAAUUUUAAUAUGAAUUUUGAAUCUCCGUGAAAAACUACUUAUUUAAACCAUCACGAUUGCUUAAAAGCAAAGCGACUCAUGCUUCGCGUCGCGGCUAUGGUUCUAGCAAAACCUGACUCUCCCUUUUUUUCAUCUUCAUCUUUAAUGGACAUCAAAGGAUUUCACGAGAAAAAGACCGGCCAAGCGCUAGGGGCGGUGGGAGAGUGGCUUAGGGGUCUUAAAGUCGAUGGAGCUGACCAGGCUAGGUCAAGCCGGGGGCGUCGCGGCAAGCUCGUCGGUGCCGUUAGGGUUAGAGUGGGCGGGGUCAAGGGGCAAGGACGACACGGCAAGUAUGGGCGCCGAUCGCAGGGGUGGGGCGGGACGAGGAUGAACACGAGCCUGCACGUGAACGGCACGAGGAAGAAGAAAGCUCUAGACGCGAACAAGAGAAGGAAGAAAGCACACCUAGUCAUUGGAUGUUGUUUGUAAAACCAUGGCUGACUGUUCGUUGAUUUGUUAUGAGAAAAAAUACUGUUGAAUGACUGAUAUCAGAAAAUAAGUCCAACUGACCAGACUCAUAGAUCUUGUGGUCUAGAUUGUUAACUGCCAAUUAAACAAUUGUUCAGUCACCUGCCAAGGAUAUACUAUCUUUUCUUAAACUAUCUCAAGCACCAAUAUUUCAACUGUCCUUAUAUUUGGAAUAAAAUCUAAUCACUAGGGAUCAUUAUAUAUAUAUAUAUAUAUAUAUAUAUAUAUAUAUAUAUAUAUAUAUAUAUAUAUAUAUAUAUAUAUAUAUAUAUAUAUAUAUAUAUAUAUCUUAGGAUGCAUCGGAGGGAGUAUAAUAUAGAUUUUUUUACCAAAAAAACAUAACAAUAAUUUUUUCAAGGCGAUGAUCAUCAAACCUCUCUCUCUUGUUAGAUUUUCACGUACUACUUUUUUUUUUUGGAACCACCAUAACCGUAACUCAUGAUGACUAUCACGAAUUAGUGUUCUAGAUAAAAGUUUCGUUUAAGGGGGUGUUUGGUUAGGAUAUUAAAGCUUAAUAGGUACUAUAGCAUUUUCGUCUUAUUUGACAAUUAGUAUUCAAUCAUAGACUAAUUAGAUUUAAAAGAUUUAUCUUGCAAAUUACUUUCUAGCUGUAUUUUUCGUAAAUAGUCUCUGACAAGAGUUAAACUUUAGUACUCCAUGUGUGUGUCCAAAUAUUCAAUGUAACAGAAGUUAAACUUUAUUAGCGUCAACCAAACGGGGCCUAAGUUUUCUUCUGUUGUGUUCUUGACUUCCAAGCCAAACAUUGGCAAAAGGAUAUAAUAAGCAGCCUGUAAUAAAAUCUGCCAUCUACAAUUCUACAAGCAUGCACAUUGUCAACACAAGCUUGCUACGGAUUGUAGCAGCACAAAGGUGUAUCUUUUUUUGAAAAGGCUCUUACAAAACAAAACCAAUAUAGAAAUAUAAGCAGUUUAUUCAUGAUAUCUUGGAUCGUUGUAUGACACAUCUCUUAUCUUAGUUUUCGACAGACUAAUAAGACUUGCAGUCCAUCCUUGUUUGCCUUUGAAGGGUUUGUGGAAUCAAGGGAUCGAUGCACUGUGAUUUCUGGACAAUUCCGACGAACUAUUUGCCAGAUUCUUGUUCUGGACAGAAGAAGCUGUGGCUGAGAUAGGCAUAGCGGGUGCGACUGCCAUCUGUGUUUCCACAUUGAAGCUAAGGUCCUCGUUCAGUCGCCAGUUGCCAGUAUCAACACAGAUUUCUUCAAGAACGCUGGCAUGGUCAGCGAAGAAUUUGAUAAGCCGCAGUCCAAGGCAGCUGGAGAUGGAGUUGUUUUCCAGUCGAAACUGCAGGCCGACUCUUCUCAGAGUGCGUUGCAAGCACGCGAACGAGCGGCCACUGAGACCAAGGAUACCAGGAACAUCUUCAAGAACGCAGUCCAAGGUCGUCUUUGAUCCUUUCCGGCACAUGAAGCGAUCGAUGGACUUGUUGUAGUCCAAUCUAUCUUUCCGUUCUAAGAAAUCACGUCCAUAUCGUGGGUCCUUGUCAGGGAGAGCCGUCAUAGUAGUGCCCAGCUUCAGCAUGAUUUCACCAAGAACAGGGCAACAAUGGAGCAAGUUGGCAAUGGCCGCGGCCGCCGUCUUGAUCUUGGGACGAUGCAUCCCUUCCAGCUCGAGGCGCUCCAAGCUGGGGAACGUACACUGCACGAGGCUGGCGCAACUCACCUCGCCAAUGUCGGCGAUGUCCUUGAGGUCGUCUCUCACCUUGAGCUUGAGGGUCCUAGCAUUGGUGAAGUUGCGCACAAACUGCCAGAAAAGCACGCGUCUUGUUUGUUUCUCGUCGUCGUCCCGGAGGAAGUGCAGGUCCACCCGUGCAACACCAGGCGGUGUCGCCGCCGCCGCCGGUCGUAGCAUGAAUCGUCGCAUGAGACCCUUAUAUUUGAAGGACUGCAGCCUUGGUGCAUCGAUCUUGAUUGCCCAGCUGCUCUUGCCGCGGCGGCGAUCCCCUGGUUCUUUGCCGCACAACGAAAGCACGAGCGUGGUCACAGCCUGGAAGCUCAGGCGGAGCACCGCUGGUUCUGCUUCUGCUCCGUCGAGUUCAUCAGGGUGGGGCAACAAGAAGAAGAGAGACUCCAGUCGCACGGUGGUGAGCUCCGGCGCGGCGUCCAGCAGGGCCUGGAGAACCUUGGACUCGACGGCGCAGUACCUUAGCCGCAACGUCGCCAGCCGUGGGAGUGGGAAGGCAGCCAUCAGAUUCAGGGCACAUCUGGUGAGGUCGAGCACGCGAAGGGUCUCCGACGACGGGAGGGAGGCGACCCCAUAGAUCCCCGUGUGCCUGUGGUUCUCUUUCUCAAGGUAAAGGAAGGCGCCGUCGGAGGAGACGUCGACGGCGGCGACGCGGAGCUCCUCAACGCGGCGCGCCGCUUGGUGGGAGACUAGAGCGCCGACCACGUUGGCAUCGUCUGUGCGCCAGCCCCCUCUGCCAUAGCAGAGGAACUGCUCGACGGCGCUCUCCCCGUCGUUGGACUCCACGCGCAGGGUGAGCCUUGUGAUCAGACCGGAAAUUCCGUAACUAGCAGCGGCCGUGCAGCCUAUCUACACGGUCACAGUUCUCUCGAGAUUUGCGCUGGCCCCAGCAUUGCAUGUCACUUUAUAUUUGUUUAUUAAGGUGGGAUCCACUUUGGUCAACUUCCCUCUCGCCUGAUUCGAGAAAAUGCCUGGCUCCAGUUUGUUUUUUCUGCCUGGGUGCCUGGCACGUUUUUUUCUGCCUGCCUUCUUCACGGUGUGCGGACUCCACUUUUCUGCCUGCCUUUUUCCCCCCUUCGCUAUACUAUUCCAUUCCGCAUCCGACCAACACGCAAAGCUGCUUCUCUCAGUUCGUCGUCAACCCUAGAUCCCCAAUCUCUAUCCUUCUCCUACCUUCAAUGUCGCCUAGCGGCGCUGCCAUAGAUCCCGGUGAGGGGAACCCGAGCAGAAUCCACGCUCGAAGGAUUCAGACUAGUGGUUUCUUGUUUCUGGCGAAGUGGUCCAAUUCCAAUCGGCUGCCAGUACGGUGCUGGACCGGCAUGUGGCGCUGCCUUCCUGGGCAGGUCCGCAGGUGGGGUCUCCACUGUCUAGGAGCUUCAACAUUUACUCGCCUCACUCCUCACUAACCUUUCAUUUCCGAUUUGUAUGUGUUUACUUACUGAUUUAUCCUUCUUCUGCUGGAUCUGGUAUUCCAGGUUCAUUUUUUGUUCUAUAUGUUUAAUAGCUGUUUUUAGGGUUCUGUUCUUGUUCAUUACAUUCAGAUAGUUCUGACGUUAUGUACUGUGUUUUUCUCCAUGGAUUUAUGUCAUCUCAGUAUAAUGAAUCCCUAUUUUGCCAAUAGUAGCUAGCUCGCAUGUAUUCGUUUUGCUUGUAACCAAUGUACAUCUAAUUUAAAUAAUUUCCCAUCACAUUAUGAUCUUAACCACCCGUUUGUAACAUAAUGCCAUCUUACCCUUAAUGUAAAAUCUAGUACAUGGCUUCUAAACUUUUACAUUUGUUUGAUGUAAACUUUAUUCUAGCUAGGUGCUUAUAUUAUUUUUCCUAUCCUUUUUUUUUCUCCAUAACAUGUCCUAACAUGGAUGUGUAGCAAAGAUAAUCCAUUUUUUUUAAAAAAAAAUUGCCUCGGUGUGUUAAAAUUAAAUUGAGAUUGUUAUAUUGGUUCAUGUACGCCCUCAUAGAUAUCUAUUUGUCAGUUAUACUCUUAGUUACCCCUUUACACGGACUGAAUAUCAGUAUAAGGUUCUGUUUCAAGCUAAUUACCUGAAGGUGGGGACAUGACCUUUUAAUUAAACCAGUGUUCUGAGUUUUUUUUGGAGAUCCAUCCCGUGUACUGCUUCCUUCCUCUCGGAAUUUCCUUUGCUCCUCUCCUAUAUGGCGAUAUUUUGGUUUCCCAGUGGCUGCUUCUCAGCUUCUUCCCGCCGAGAAGGCAUGUGGAGCAGGUGUACGCAUGUUUUUUUUUAGCACCUUCACCUUCCGUUUACUUCUUCUUUGCGGCUGCUUCUCAACUUCUUUUUGUUUUUUGUGGUUGGUACAUUUUCAUUUGUCAUAGAGAUUAUGUACAGUUUAUUGCUUUAGUUUUCCUGAAAUCAUCCUUCUAAUUGUUGAGAAGUGUUCUGCAGCUAUGUUCCUUUUCCUUUUCUUAUUUAAAGAUCUGUCCUUUAUCCUUUUGAUUUGAAGACGUUUUAUUCAUCCCUAUAUAUAUUGUGAUAUAUUUUGUUCUAUACAGAUUUCCCUGUUCUCCUGAAGCAUUUAUACUGCUUUGUUCACCUCCCUAUAUACAAUUCUUCUUCUAUAUUUAAUCACGGACAAUUCUUCUUCUAUAUUUAAUCACGGUGAAAGUAAGGUACUGAUUCAUUUUUUAAUGCACAAUAAUUUUGUAGAAGUUCUUCAUUCAGAUUUUGUUCCAGUUAAAUAUGAAAUAUAUAGCAUGAUGUACUUUAGUUUAUACUAGAUUAGAGCUCUACUGCGAUAUACUUAUGCUGAUAGAUCAGGCUGGUCCUUUGUGAUGUGAAGUCCUUGUAGCCAUUCUCCUUAAACAUUUAUUUUUUACUUUUCUCGUUUUCAGUGUUACCAAAGGCUUCACUUUUAAUCACACUUGAAUUAAGCUAUUUGUUAGUCUAUCGAAGUAUAGUUAUUUUAUAUAACUUUCUUAAUCAUGCAAUUAAACAUUUUAGCAUUAGGUUAGUGGAAGAUCUUACUUUGUCCUAGUUCGUAGGUACACUUGAAAUUUUUUCAUUUCUAUUAAUUUUUGAGUUUCAUGGAAAUAUUGUGUUGUCCUUCUGUUAUAGCUAUCUUGUUAUUUUUAUAUAUUAUUAAUUCAUGGUAAUAGUAUUAUUUUUAGUUACACUUCCUCUUAAUGAAAACCGGGCUGAACCCCCAAUAUAGAAACUAAAAUUUUAGUUACACUUCGUACUUAGCAUUUACAUCACUAGUAAUUGUAUGAUAUCCUUUUAUAACAAAAGAUUUCUACAUUGAUAGUUAUUUAUUUGUACUCUAUUUCUAUUGAAAGGAAGCUUGAAAUGAACCUGUUUGCUUCGCCAAAAAAUUAUUAAAUUAAUUCUUGGCCAUGCACAAACAAUCCUUUUAUGGUAUCUAGUUAGAUAUCUGAAUCUAACCAGCACAGUAGAAUUACUUUCCGGAUUCAGUUUCCGAAGUACAACAGUCUUUUGGUAAGCUAUGCAUGUUGCUUGCUUAGUAUACAUGUUAUUUUGGUGCUGCCGCUUUCUUGCUCUAGCACCCUAAGAUGAAAUACAUGGUUUACUGUUGCUUACAGCAUGUGAUCAUCUGUCAUUGCAGCUUUAAUUCCGAAUUAUCCUCGUGGUUCCUGUGUUGUUCUAUAAGCGCUUAUAUGUCAGUGUAAUCAUAGGCACAACCAAACUUACAUGUACAGAAACAAAUCUGAAAAAAUGUUAGCAUCUACUCAUGUUUUAGGACCAUGUUGCAAUUUGUGAUAUUGCAGGCAGCAUAGUUUGCAUAAUAUAUAGACAUUUCCUCAUUCCACAGUCUGGAGUUCCAUAGAUUUGAAAUAGUUUGAUUUUUUUUAAGGAACAAUUUGAAAUUGUUUAAUUUAAUGCAUAUUCUUCACAGGUUUGGAGUUGCACGAUGUGAAUAUUUGUGGCAACUGCCUCUACUGUCUUCAGUUGAUGGCUUGACACCCACGAUUUCUCCUUAGUUUGCUAAGUUGCCUAAUCUUACUUACAUAUAUACUGAAUUUGUGCAUUAAGAUGUAUGCACCAUUAAGCUUAAAAAAGUUUAACCGGCAAGAAAAUUAUAUGCGACACUUAUUUGGGACAAAGGGAGUAUUUUAGAACAUCACAUCAAUACUAUCUAUGAGCUCAAUAUACUCUCUCUGUUCCUCUCUCUGUUCCAAAAUAAGUACACAUCGCGCCUUCGAGAAGCCAAAUAAAUCUUAGGUUUAACUUGAUUUAUAAAUAAUAAUAAUAAUAUUUGUACCUCUAAAAAGAUUAGCAAAAACAUAUAUGAUUGAUUAAUCUAAUGGUAAUUAUUUGAUAUUACAAAUUGUAGUAUUUUUUAUGUAGAUUUAGUCAAACUUAAGUUUGUUCGACUCCUAGAAGUACGAGAUAUACAUUUAUUUUGGUACGGUAAGUGUACUCCAUCCGUCCUAAAAUAAAUGUUGUUCUCGCUUUCUCAGAAAUGAUUUUAACUUUAAUCAAAUAUAUAUAAUAGUAGUAAACUAAUAACAACAAUAGUACAUAAUUAGUAUGAAGAUAAUUUAUUCUAUUUUUACAAUAGACUUAAUUAGAAAUACAAAUGUUGCUAAUAUUUUUAUAAAUCAAUCGAACUUAAAAUGGUUUAACCGACAUAAAAACCAAUACUUAUUUUAGGAUAGAGGGAGUAUUUUAGAACAUCAACCGGUACCAUCCAUGAGUUUACUGUACUCCCUCUUCCAAAAUAAGUACACAUCACGCACUUCGAGAAGUUAAACAAAUCUCAAGUAUAAUUAGAUUUAUAAAAAAUAAUAUUCACAUUUGUACCUCUAAAUACGAUUAGUACAAAAAUGUAUAAUAUGAUUAACCUAAUGAUAAUUAUUUGCUAUUAGAAAUCUUAGUAUUUUUUAUGAAGAUUUGGUCAAAUUUAAGUUUGUUUGACUCCUAGAAUAUGAGAUAUGUAUUUAUUUUCGUAUGGUAGGUGUACUCCAUCUGUCCCAAAAUAAGUGUCGUUCUCGCUUCUCGAGAAGCCAAAUGUUUUUUAACAUUGGCCAACUAUAUAAGAAAAUAUUAAUGAUUAUAGUACAUAAUUAUCUAUUUUUAUAAUAAAAUUAAUUGAAGAUACAAAUGUUGCUAAUAUUUUUUUAAAAUCUAGUCAAAUUUAGAAAAAGUUUAACUGGCACAAAAGCUAUAACAACAUUUAUUUUGGGACAAAGGAGGUAUUUUAGAACAUCAACCGGUACCAUCCAUGAGCUCAUUGUACUCGUUUCAAAAUAAGUACAUAUCGCACACUUUCUGAAGCCAAACAAAUCUUAAAGUUUAACAAGAUUUAUAGAAAAUAAUAUUAAUAUUUGUAUCUCUAAACAAGAUUAGUAAUAAAAUAUAUGAUAUGAUUAAUGUAAUGAUAACUAUUUAAUAUUAUAAAUCUUAGUUUUUUAUAUAGAUUUGGUCAAACUUAAGUUUGUUUGACUUCUAAAAGUAUGAGAUGGGCAUUUAUUUUGGCAUCUUAGGUGUACUCUAUCCGUCUCAAAAUAAGUAUCAUUUUUGUUUUUCGAGGAGUCAAAUGUUUUUAAUUUGAUCAAAUAUAUAAGAAAAUAUUAAUAAUUAUAUUACAUAAUUAGUAUCAUUAGAUAGAUCAUUGGAUAUAUUUUCAUAAUAAAAUUAGUUGGAGAUAAAGUUAUUUUAUAUUUUAUAUGCUCUAUAUAUGUGUCUAAAUAUUUGAUGUGAUAGGACAAAAAGUUUCUGGUGGGAACUAAAUAAGGCAUGAGUUAAAGGCGCAAUGGUAAUACUUGAGAAUGUUCCAGAAUCAUACCUCUAUAUGAAAAUCCUCAAGGAAGUGUUACCAUAUCACAGUUUUCUAGAUGUGAACACAAAUUUAUCAAAAUUGGAACAUUGAUGGUAAAACAGGAACAAUAAACUGAUCAUGUCAAACUGUAAUGUUCAUUGGUUCUUUGACAUCCAAUUUAUACACAUGAAUUUUUGGUUUCCCUUUUUGCAGGUUUUUAUCAAUGACAAGGCAGGAUUUAUUGAACAUGUAUGCAGAGGAUAUGGUCUUCCGUCGUGAAUCUUCCAAACCAGAUUUUCUGCUAGAAGAACGUUAAUGGGACAAACAAAAGAAUCUUAAGUUCAAAGACCUUGCUCUAAAGGAGAAAUCAUGGAGUUCCCAUAGGAUUUUUGCACAAAUGUAAACCUGCACUAGAAAUGUGCUCGUUAUUUUUUCACUAGCCAUAUCCUCUCGUGUCCGUUGUCAUUUAAAAUUUUUAUUUUUUCAAGAGUUAUCAUGUUUUGACGUGAUAAUUGUACAACUGGAAUCACUUCUUACAUUUUCAAGAGAGUCCAUAUCAUCUCAGCAUUACUGUUAUUUGCAUAAUUAUAUUUCCAUGGAUUCUUCGACAAAUAUGAUAAUGUUGUCUCUCUUCGAAGUUAUAAUUGUU